GAUGAAGAACGCAGCGAAAUGCGAUAAGUAAUGUGAAUUGCAGAAUUCAGUGAAUCAUCGAAUCUUUGAACGCACAUUGCGCCCCCUGGUAUUCCGGGGGGCAUGCCUGUUCGAGCGUCAUUUCACCACUCAAGCCUCGCUUGGUAUUGGGCAACGCGGUCCGCCGCGUGCCUCAAAUCGUCCGGCUGGGUCUUCUGUCCCCUAAGCGUUGUGGAAACUAUUCGCUAAAGGGUGUUCGGGAGGCUACGCCGUAAAACAACCCCAUUUCUAAGGUUGACCUCGGAUCAGGUAGGGAUACCCGCUGAACUUAAGCAUAUCAAUAAGGGAGA
rnacentral:misc_RNA from 1 species